rnacentral:rRNA from 1 species
AUGACGGGUAACGGGGAAUUAGGGUUCGAUUCCGGAGAGGGAGCCUGAGAAACGGCUACCACAUCUAAGGAAGGCAGCAGGCGCGCAAAUUACCCAAUCCUAAUACAGGGAGGUAGUGACAAGAAAUAACAAUACAGGACUUUAACAGUUUUGUAAUUGGAAUGAGUUGAGUAUAAACCCCUUUACAAGUAUCAAUUGGAGGGCAAGUCUGGUGCCAGCAGCCGCGGUAAUUCCAGCUCCAAUAGCGUAUAUUAAAGUUGUUGCAGUUAAAAAGCUCGUAGUUGGAUUUCUGUUAAUAAUUUAUAUAUAAUAUUUAACAUAUUUAUAUAAUAUUAACAUAAUUCAUAUUACUAUUUAUAGUAUAUGAAACUUUACUUUGAGAAAAUUAGAGUGCUUAAAGCAGGCUUUUGCCUUGAAUACUAGAGCAUGGAAUAAUAUUAAAGAUUUUUAUCUUUCUUAUUGGUUCUAAGAUAGAAAUAAUGAUUAAUAGGGACAGUUGGGGGCAUUUGUAUUUAACAGUUAGAGGUGAAAUUCUU